GGAGGGAGGGCCGGGUGCUUCCCCCCAAAUUCAUCUAUUUCUGCCUGCCCACUCGCGUGAUAACGUUUCAACGAACGCGCCGCUCUCCCCCCCUCCCCUCGUCUCUCUCACUUUAAUUCCUUCCUUUCUUUUGGGAUGCCUCGGAGGCGGCGGUCUCAGGCCCUUAAAGGUCUCGAGGCGUGUCAUUGUUGUUAGGGUUUGUCCAAGCGAGAGAGAGGAGGGACUCCCCGUCACGCAUCCUUCCCUCCCUCAAGAGAUCGAGGCCAUGACGUCCAAGGCCUCGUUUUCGGCUUCCGCCAGCAAAUCCGAGCCAUCGGCCGGUCUUCAGGUUCGCCGAUCUCUGUCCCCCACCUAUCGGUUUCCGCCUUUAUGUCUUUUUCCCUCCCACCUUUUGUACUUCUCAAUAGCUGGUGCCUGUAAAUUCGAUUUCUUGACCUUGUCCCCUUUCCAAGCCCGGGGUUUUCCAGGAGAUUGGAUUUUUCCUGCAAUGUCGGUGGGUCAUACGAUUUCUUUCUGGUGGUUUCCAUCGCGAUGGAAGCCACAUUGUCGCAGGGUGCUCUUAUCUCAGCUGGGAAUUUUGGUUUCCCAGGGUGAACAGGUGUCACCCCAAAAGCAAGCUCAGUCCACUGUCUUGUGACCACCUGAUCACUCCUUAAGCGUGAUAUUUUUCAUUAACGUCAUCGUGUGAUGUGAAUGCAAAUUCGUUGCUCUUGCAUAGAUCCCGGCUCAAAGAUUUCAAAACAGUCUUGUUGCCGCAAGGCUCCAGUACAAGGAGAAAGUGGCUGUGGUCGGCGCAAGUCCGAUCUGGAGCUCGGUGGUCAGCGGAUCUCCGAGGAUGGUCGACAGCUCCCAGAUUCUGAAAAAGAAGUCCAGUCACUAGCAUUUCUCUGGUGGAGGACCCUUCAAUGCUUAGAAGUCCAGUCACUAGCAUUUCUCUGGUGGAGGACCCUUCAAUACUUAAGUUAGCCGGAGCUAUGAGAAUAUUGAGAGGGAGAGAACGAGCGGGUGUUUCUGGAUUUUUAGAGUCUAAGGAGCUUACCAAAGGGUCCUUUGGGUCUCCUUUUAUAGAAAGAAAGGAAAUACGUUAUCCUAUUAAUUGGUAACUGACACGGAGAAUUAAGACCCACAAUACGAUCGUGGGCAGUGGGCAGUAAAUUCUAUUAACCUACUGCCACAUUUUUUUGUAACUGCUUGAGAUUUGAGGGGGUUUCCAUCAUCCCAUGUUCUUCUUUGAAACAAUCUAAUGCCUUGGGUUCAUCUGUGAGUCAUCGGUUCCAAUCUGACCAUGUGGUCGGUAUGAGUCCAACCAGGUCAUCGGCUUAAGGCCGAGGACAUGGGUUAAUUCCCUUGUAGCUGUCUAGUGUUCAUUUUAAGGGAACCAAAGUGGGUGCUCACUGGUGGUCUGAAGAGAAAAAGUUGAGGUCUGGCGGUAUCCUCCCAAAUCAAGUGUCAAUAAAGAUUAUUUGUUUUUCAUAAUCCGAAGAGGCACUACUCUCAAAUGAAAGUCUGGUACACAAGUUAUAUGUAGAGGUGAAAGUGGUAUAGAUAUUAUUCGUUCGGAUUUGUUUUCGUAUUCGAAUCAAUUCGGAUAUGGACAGAAAUUUGAGGAUUCGACUAAUACCCAUAUCCGUAUCCAUAUUCAUCAAAGAAAAAUGGAUAUGGAUAGAUAAUUAUCCGAUCCGUAUCCGAAUAUCCGAAUCAAUAUAUAAUGCUUUAUAAUUUUGUAUAUCAUUUAUUAAUUUUUAUGAGAAAUAUACAACCUUAUAAACAUGUUAUUAACUUGAUUUAUCAUCUAUUUAGUAAUAUCUUUGAUUUUGUAGCCAUAAAGUUUAAUUAUUUAAGUAAUAUCCGUAAUUAUAUCUAUACUUCUGGUAUCAAAAUUGUAUCCAUAUCUGUUUAAAACAAAUAUGGAUAUGAAUUUUUGCAUCUGAACAAUAUCCAUAUCUGUAUUUAUAUUCAUCAAACAAAACAAAUAUUGAUAUGGAUAUGUUGGUAACCAAUCCAUAUCCGAUUCGGUUUCAGUCCUAGUUAUAUGCUUUCUUGAUUUGGUAUGAUCUUGGAAUCUUGGACCUAUUUAUGUGCAAUCGGUUGACAUAAUUCCAUAACUCCCAAAUUCCUCUUAGAUACUAUACAAAGUAGAUGAAAACUUAAGUCAUCUCCUUUUAUGCUGUUUGUUUCUUAAUUUCAAUCUUCUUGCUGGUUUUAACAUUAGCUUGUUUUGUGGUAUGAUCUUUCGUUGGCAUGGCCAAUUGUUUCCCUAAGAUCCAAUAGCACUUGCAAAGGAUUUGUACUUAAUGCGCUCAAAAUAUGCACAAUCUCUUCCAAGAUGUUGUCAUGAGUGCCACUUUAUAUGAUGAAGGAAAAACCAUGUGUCAGCUCAACCAUCAUCUACUAUUGCUUUACCAAAAAUUUGCAAACAAUGCUGAGUGAAUUUGCCACAAUGUGAAUGCCAUAUCGCAUUAUUCUCCUUCCAUUUGAUUACUAGGCAAAAACUUGAUUCGACAUGUGCUUGAAUUCCGUGUGCUCAUGAUUGUUAAACCAUGACACAUGAUAUGGUUGGCUGUUGUUCAAUACCUUAAAAAGAGAUUCUUACCAGCAUCUAACUCAUGUGAUGCACAGUAUGCAGUUUCUUUCUCCUUUUUCUAAUUGUUUGAAAUGCAAUGUAGAAUGCAUAUAAUAGAAAAGAUAACAAAAAUGUAAUGAAAUAUAAUAGUUAUAAGAGUCUAAUUCAUGAUUUUCAGAACCGUCUCAAACCAGACGGUUCGGGGCAUGCCGAACCGGAUCGACAGAGAAUCGGGACGGUUUCAGCUUGAAAAGUGGCACACGCCGGUGCCGAGGGAGAAAGAGAGGGAAAAAGAGGAAGAGAGAGAGGAGGAGAGGGAGAGAGACUACAACGCCAUCAGAGACCGACGGUGGUUUGUUGUGGUUGUCGGAGGGUGGUGAAAGCCUCUGCAGCUCGAUUCGUCUGAUAGGACUUUUAAAUAAGAGAGAAAGAGAGAGGAGGGAGCGACUUACUGGAGGGAUGCGCAGCCGGCGGAGGGCCCGUCGGAGCUUGUCGGGUGGCUGCCGUAGCCAUUGACUGGCGGAAACCAUGUGGGCGGAUCCGUUCACGUUUUUUUGACUUUUUUUGAAAAAAAACCUAGUAAAAUAGGGGCAUCGUCCCUAUUUCAUGUCCGCAGUGUUGCAUGUGUGGACUGCGCCAUCCGACGGCCACGGUGGCCGGUCGGAGGCCAUUCGAUGGCCCCUCCGACUCCUUCCCCUCCCUUCUUUUCUUUCUUCCCCCCUAUCUCUAUUUCUCUUUCUCUUUUUUCCUCCUCCCGGUUCGCUUCCUUUUCCUAUGUCGGUUUGCAUCGGUCCGGUCCGGUCUAAUACGGCCGUACCGUCAGUCAGUCGGCAUAGGCUUUCGAUGCCGAGUCUGCGAAUCUUGAUUUGAUUAUUUAAUUUUUGAUGCUAAUAUUAUGACAUACUAUCACUAUAUAAAAUUCUAAUGGCAUAUGUAUAUCUAUUGAUAUAAUAAAUGAUAUAUUAUUUUAAAAUAAUAAAAUCAUAAUCCAACCUAUGUGUAAUAAGAAAUAGAAAAAUAUUGUAUCUAGAGAAUAUUUAGAUGCAAUAUAGUGGGUCAUUAGUGGUUAUACUUUCACAUUUAUGUAUGAUCAUGAUCAUAAAAAUACAAUAGAAAUUAAUAAAAUAUUAGUGCAAUCUAAUGACCCAUGUGAUGCAUAUGGGCUGCGCACAGUACUUAUGUAAAGUAUUUUUCAUUAAUAUUAGCAUACGUUAAGCAAAUAUGAUUAUUUAAAUGCCAUUAAUUUAUGUAUUAAUUUAGUAGUACUGAUUGAUAUGGUUUAAUAAGCUAAUAAGUUUGUUGUGAUAUUUUUUGAUAAAGAACCUUGUUAAAUAAGAGCUCUACUUGUUAUCUAUAAUAAAGAGCUCUAUUAAUAAUACUAUUAAUAUGGCAUCCACAUGAUGAAUGGAGAGCUCUGCACAAGCAGAGCCUCCAUUUUAGUAUAUAUAUAUAUAUAUGUGUGUGUGUGUGUAUUAGAUAUGUCGACCAACCACCAUUAAUUAUCAUGCUUCACAAUUAUCCACCAUAAGCAUCUUACCUUUAGUUUUCAGAAUGCUUAUGACCAUGCAGUAAGCUCUUCUUGGGGCUCCUCCUUCCUUUCCCCGGUAAUGGCUAUAGGUCAUUCUGCCUUGUUAUAGAAAAGAAAUUUUCAUAUUCUUCUUUAGGGGCAUUGCUGUUCUAACCUAUGCAACUACAUAUGUGUAUGCAAUAUGCAGUCCCAUGAUGAACAGUAAUUGAUCAAACUGCCUGCCUUUGCAACUUGGUUACAAAUGUGUGGAUUUGUUGGUUUUAAAGAUUGCUUCAUACUUAUCCCUUUGUCCUAAUGGGACUGGGGAGAGGAACCAUAAAGGAACAAGCAUGGUAGAGGAUGCUUGCUGCUGACAACUGAUGGUAAACAAGGGCAUUUGGACUGUGGAUAGAAUAACUCUAUCAGCGACUGGUAUCAGUGUACUUUUAUUUUUAUUUUAUAAACUUUCUCAUCCCAUUCUUCUCAUCUAUGCCUCCAUAUCCUUCCUUAUUCCCUUCUUUGCCCUUUUGCCCAUCCCCAUCUCCUUCCACCGCUUCUUUCUCCUCCUUUUGUCUUGUUCCUCCUCUUCCAUGUAGAUGCCGGUAUCUUGAAAUGUUGCAUACUACAGUCACUUAUGAGAACCUUCAAAAACUCUUUCUUUUAGGAGAUUAAUCUUUCUUCUCGAACAACAGGAUUUAGGAUGCAGAUUACAUCUGCAACAUUGAAUUCACAAUAAGUGAUCCACAUCUAAUUUUUUCUUUUUCUCAAACCAGAAUUAGUUUGCUGAAAGAAGAAUAUAGUUCAGAUAUUAUGCAAAAAUAAAGGUUCUAUGUGAGACUGUCUUUGACCUGAGGGCAAUUCAUCACACUCAGAAACAAAAGAAAAGAGGAGGGAGGAACUAGAAUUUCAUUGUACCAUCUCAAGCUUAUGUACAUAUAUGAGCCAUUGGGAUUUAAACCCUAGGAGAACAGAAGCAAAAGUCUUAAUCUAAUACAUUGAUAUGACUAAAUUAAUCAUACCCCUUAAAUCAAGCUAGUGUUUAAAGAUGAACUAUCUGACAUACAAGAAUGAUAUUUAUGUCCCUAACUGCAUUUUAGCCUUUUAAUCCAUGAAAACGUUGUUUGUCUAUUCACAUAGCACAUCCAAAAUAUGUGUUCAGCACCAUCAAAUCAUCCAUAGUUUUGCUUAAAUGGACAGCCCAUUUUUAAUUUUUGGCCCUUGGAAUUUCCAAUUGUAAUUGAACCUGUCCCAUUAGCCUAGGUGUCUAACUUCCUUUCGUUAUAGUAUUAAAGCAAUUAUCAUGUAUAAAAAUAUUUCUCAUGAGGAACUUUCUGACAUAGUAGAGGUCCUUUACUCCUUUUCAGCAUAGAACCUGAUGCAAGAGUUGCUUUCAAAGAUGUUUCGUCAACCUUCUGCAAUUGCUUAUAUGUACUAAAAUUAUUUGGAAUUUACCAUGUUUUGAUAUUAUCAUUGCAUUGAGGACUAAUGCAUUCUUGGAUUUAUCUUCAUUGCUAGGAGCCUAGUCAUGUGAUCGGUGAGGCAUGACAUGGCACACUUCUACCAUACUAUGUUAGCCCAUCAUUGACACAAGCGUAAGACAAGAUAUUUUAAUCUUAAUUUUCCUUGUUAGAUAGCACUUAAGAAUCUUUAGCUGAUUGUUGUUUUCAAGAUGAGAAAUCACAUAUUGUUUGAUAUUUUGUGAACUAUGAUGUGUCUCACAAGGAUCUUGUUCCCUUGUGGUGAUAUGCACUCUAGAUUAUGAUAUAUAUAUGUGUGUGUGUGUGUGUGUGUGUGUGUGUGUAUAUA
rnacentral:lncRNA from 1 species